rnacentral:rRNA from 1 species
UACGUAGGGUGCGAGCGUUAAUCGGAAUUACUGGGCGUAAAGCGUGCGCAGGCGGUUUUGUAAGCCAGAUGUGAAAUCCCCGGGCUCAACCUGGGAAUGGCAUUUGGGACUGCAAGGCUUGAGUGCGGCAGGAGGAGACUGGAAUUCCUGGUGUAGCAGUGAAAUGCGUAGAUAUCGUAAGGAAGACCAGUGGCGAAGGCGGGUCGUCUGGACAGUUCCUGACGCUGAGGCACGAAGGCCAGGGGAGCAAACGGGGAUUAGACUA